rnacentral:lncRNA from 1 species
UGGAGAAGGGAGGUACAAAGCUGGUCGAUUGGGCUUGAUACCAGGCUGGAAACAGACCAAGUUUGACUGUUUUGUGGUUGCUUAACAAUUGCUGUACUUGCCUUGUUUGAAUGAAGCCAUUUUGCACAUUUUCAAGUUUUUGCAUUUUGGUCCAAAGUGAUAGCAUAAUGGUGGUAUGAUGAUGAUUUUAGGCUUGAGGCAAGUCACAAAUAGGAUAUGAAACAUUUCCCAAUUGGCCAAAUCAAGAAAAAGUCAAAGAAUCAAAAAGUCAAAGUUUGGUCAAAC